GACGAACGCUGGCGGCGUGCUUAACACAUGCAAGUCGAACGGAAAGGCCCGGCUUUUGUAGGUUGCUCGAGUGGCGAACGGGGGAGUAACACGUGAGUAACCUGCCCUUGACUGUGGGAUAACUUCUGGAAACUGGGGCGAAUACCGGAUAGGAGCUCUUGCUGCAUGGUGUUGUUUGGAAAGAUUCGGCGGUGGGGGAUGGACUGGCGGGUUAUGAGCUUGUUGGUGUGGUAGUUGCUUACCAGGGGUUUGACGGGUAGCCGGCCUGAGAGGGUGACCGGCCACAUUGGGACUGAGAUACGGCCCAGACUCCUACGGGAGGCAGCAGUGGGGAAUAUUGCACAAUGGGCGGAAGCCUGAUGCAGCAACGCCGCGUGCGGGAUGACGGGCUUCGGGUUGUAAACCGCUUUCGCCUGUGACGAAGCGUGAGUGACGGUAAUGGGUAAAGAAGCACCGGCUAACUACGUG
rnacentral:rRNA from 1 species